rnacentral:rRNA from 1 species
GCGAUACAGGGUGACAGCCCCGUACACAAAAAUGCACAUAUUGUGAGCUCGAUGAGUAGGGCGGGACACGUGGUAUCCUGUCUGAAUAUGGGGGGACCAUCCUCCAAGGCUAAAUACUCCUGACUGACCGAUAGUGAACCAGUACCGUGAGGGAAAGGCGAAAAGAACCCCGGCGAGGGGAGUGAAAAAGAACCUGAAACCGUGUACGUACAAGCAGUGGGAGCACGCUUAGGCGUGUGACUGCGUACCUUUUGUAUAAUGGGUCAGCGACUUAUAUUCUGUAGCAAGGUUAACCGAAUAGGGGAGCCGAAGGGAAACCGAGUCUUAACUGGGCGUUAAGUUGCAGGGUAUAGACCCGAAACCCGGUGAUCUAGCCAUGGGCAGGUUGAAGGUUGGGUAACACUAACUGGAGGACCGAACCGACUAAUGUUGAAAAAUUAGCGGAUGACUUGUGGCUGGGGGUGAAAGGCCAAUCAAACCGGGAGAUAGCUGGUUCUCCCCGAAAGCUAUUUAGGUAGCGCCUCGUGAAUUCAUCUCCGGGGGUAGAGCACUGUUUCGGCAAGGGGGUCAUCCCGACUUACCAACCCGAUGCAAACUGCGAAUACCGGAGAAUGUUAUCACGGGAGACACACGGCGGGUGCUAACGUCCGUCGUGAAGAGGGAAACAACCCAGACCGCCAGCUAAGGUCCCAAAGUCAUGGUUAAGUGGGAAACGAUGUGGGAAGGCCCAGACAGCCAGGAUGUUGGCUUAGAAGCAGCCAUCAUUUAAAGAAAGCGUAAUAGCUCACUGGUCGAGUCGGCCUGCGCGGAAGAUGUAACGGGGCUAAACCAUGCACCGAAGCUGCGGCAGCGACGCUUAUGCGUUGUUGGGUAGGGGAGCGUUCUGUAAGCCUGCGAAGGUGUGCUGUGAGGCAUGCUGGAGGUAUCAGAAGUGCGAAUGCUGACAUAAGUAACGAUAAAGCGGGUGAAAAGCCCGCUCGCCGGAAGACCAAGGGUUCCUGUCCAACGUUAAUCGGGGCAGGGUGAGUCGACCCCUAAGGCGAGGCCGAAAGGCGUAGUCGAUGGGAAACAGGUUAAUAUUCCUGUACUUGGUGUUACUGCGAAGGGGGGACGGAGAAGGCUAUGUUGGCCGGGCGACGGUUGUCCCGGUUUAAGCGUGUAGGCUGGUUUUCCAGGCAAAUCCGGAAAAUCAAGGCUGAGGCGUGAUGACGAGGCACUACGGUGCUGAAGCAACAAAUGCCCUGCUUCCAGGAAAAGCCUCUAAGCAUCAGGUAACAUCAAAUCGUACCCCAAACCGACACAGGUGGUCAGGUAGAGAAUACCAAGGCGCUUGAGAGAACUCGGGUGAAGGAACUAGGCAAAAUGGUGCCGUAACU